ensembl:rRNA 5S_rRNA 5S ribosomal RNA
GUCCAUGGUCUACCACCAUGCCACCCUGAACAAGCUUGAUGUCUGAUCUCAGAAGCCAAGCAAGGUUGGGCCUGGUAAGUACUUGGAUGGGAGACCACCUAGGAAGACCAGGUACUAUAGGUA